GUUGGGUUAAGUCCCGUAACGAGCGCAACCCUUGUCCUUAGUUACCAGCACGUUAUGGUGGGCACUCUAAGGAGACUGCCGGUGACAAACCGGAGGAAGGUGGGGAUGACGUCAAGUCAUCAUGGCCCUUACGGCCUGGGCUACACACGUGCUACAAUGGUCGGUACAGAGGGUUGCCAAGCCGCGAGGUGGAGCUAAUCUCACAAAACCGAUCGUAGUCCGGAUCGCAGUCUGCAACUCGACUGCGUGAAGUCGGAAUCGCUAGUAAUCGCGAAUCAGAAUGUCGCGGUGAAUACGUUCCCGGGUCUUGUACACAC
rnacentral:rRNA from 1 species